rnacentral:rRNA from 1 species
CCUACGGGUGGCAGCAGUGGGGAAUAUUGGACAAUGGGGGCAACCCUGAUCCAGCCAUGCCGCGUGUGUGAAGAAGGCCCUCGGGUUGUAAAGCACUUUCAGUGAGGAAGAACGCCUGGUGGUUAAUACCCAUCAGGAAAGACAUCACUCACAGAAGAAGCACCGGCUAACUCCGUGCCAGCAGCCGCGGUAAUACGGAGGGUGCGAGCGUUAAUCGGAAUUACUGGGUGUAAAGCGCGCGUAGGUGGCUUGAUAAGCCGGUUGUGAAAGCCCCGGGCUCAACCUGGGAACGGCAUCCGGAACUGUCAAGCUAGAGUGCAGGAGAGGAAGGUAGAAUUCCCGGUGUAGCGGUGAAAUGCGUAGAGAUCGGGAGGAAUACCAGUGGCGAAGGCGGCCUUCUGGACUGACACUGACACUGAGGUGCGAAAGCGUGGGUAGCAAACAGGAUUAGAUACCCGGGUAGUC